rnacentral:rRNA from 1 species
GAUUCUUCGGAUGAAGAGGAUUGUGACUGAGCGGCGGACGGGUGAGUAACGCGUGGGUAACCUGCCUCAUACAGGGGGAUAACAGUUAGAAAUGACUGCUAAUACCGCAUAAGACCACAGCACCGCAUGGUGCGGGGGUAAAAACUCCGGUGGUAUGAGAUGGACCCGCGUCUGAUUAGCUGGUUGGUAAGGUAACGGCUUACCAAGGCGACGAUCAGUAGCCGACCUGAGAGGGUGACCGGCCACAUUGGGACUGAGACACGGCCCAAACUCCUACGGGAGGCAGCAGUGGGGAAUAUUGCACAAUGGGGGAAACCCUGAUGCAGCGACGCCGCGUGAAGGAAGAAGUAUCUCGGUAUGUAAACUUCUAUCAGCAGGGAAGAUAGUGACGGUACCUGACUAAGAAGCCCCGGCUAACUACGUGCCAGCAGCCGCGGUAAUACGUAGGGGGCAAGCGUUAUCCGGAUUUACUGGGUGUAAAGGGAGCGUAGACGGUGUGGCAAGCCUGAUGUGAAAGGCAUGGGCUCAACCUGUGGACUGCAUUGGAAACUGUCACACUUGAGUGCCGGAGGGGUAAGCGGAAUUCCUAGUGUAGCGGUGAAAUGCGUAGAUAUUAGGAGGAACACCAGUGGCGAA